rnacentral:rRNA from 1 species
CUAUACAUGCAGUCGAGCGGACUUGAUGGAGAGCUUGCUCUCYUGAURGUUAGCGGCGGACSGKUGAGUAACACGUAGGCAACCUGCCCUCUGGACUGGGAUAACUACCGGAAACGGUAGCUAAUACCAGAUAAUUCACUUCUUCGCAUGGAGAAGUGAGGAAAGACGGAGCAAUCUGUCACCGGAGGAUGGGCCUGCGGCGCAUUAGCUAGUUGGAGAGGUAACGGCUCCCCAAGGCGACGAUGCGUAGCCGACCUGAGAGGGUGAUCGGCCACACUGGGACUGAGACACGGCCCAGACUCCUACGGGAGGCAGCAGUAGGGAAUCUUCCGCAAUGGGCGAAAGCCUGACGGAGCAACGCCGCGUGAGUGAUGAAGGUUUUCGGAUCGUAAAGCUCUGUUGCCAAGGAAGAACGUCCUUAAGAGUAACUGCUUAAGGAGUGACGGUACUUGAGAAGAAAGCCCCGGCUAACUACGUGCCAGCAGCCGCGGUAAUACGUAGGGGGCAAGCGUUGUCCGGAAUUAUUGGGCGUAAAGCGCGCGCAGGCGGUCAUUUAAGUCUGGUGUUUAAGCCCGGGGCUCAACCCCGGAUCGCACGGGAAACUGGAUGACUUGAGUGCAGAAGAGGAGAGUGGAAUUCCACGUGUAGCGGUGAAAUGCGUAGAGAUGUGGAGGAACACCAGUGGCGAAAGCGACUCUCUGGGCUGUAACUGACGCUGAGGCGCGAAAGCGUGGGGAGCAAACAGGAUUAGAUA